GUAGGGUGCAAGCGUUAAUCGGAAUUACUGGGCGUAAAGCGUACGCAGGCGGCUUUGCAAGACAGGUGUGAAAUCCCCGGGCCUAACCUGGGAACUGCAUUUGUGACUGGCGGGCUAGAGUGCGGAAGAGGGAGGUGGAAUUCCACGUGUAGCAGUGAAAUGCGUAGAGAUGUGGAGGAACACCGAUGGCGAAGGCAGCCUCCUGGUCUAGCACUGACGCUCAUGCACGAAAGCGUGGGGAGCAAACAGGAUUAGAUACCCUGGUAGUCCACGCCCUAAACGAUGUCAACUAGUUGUCGGGAGAGGAGACUUUCUUGGUAACGCAGCUAACGCGUGAAGUUGACCGCCUGGGGAGUACGGCCGCAAGGUUA
rnacentral:rRNA from 1 species